rnacentral:rRNA from 1 species
UACGAAUAAGGAUCGGCUAACUCCGUGCCAGCAGCCGCGGUAAUACGGAGGAUCCAAGCGUUAUCCGGAUUCAUUGGGUUUAAAGGGUCCGUAGGCGGGUCUUUAAGUCAGUGGUGAAAGCCGACAGCUCAACUGUCGAACUGCCAUUGAUACUGGAGACCUUGAGUACAAAUGAAGUAGGCGGAAUGAGUCAUGUAGCGGUGAAAUGCAUAGAUAUGACUCAGAACACCGAUUGCGAAGGCAGCUUACUAACAUGUAACUGACGCUGAGGGACGAAAGCGUGGGGAGCGAACAGGAUUAGAUACCCUGGUAGUCCACGCCGUAAACGAUCAUCACUCGCUGUUGGCGAUAUACUGUCAGCGGCCAAGCGAAAGUA